CACGUAGGGGGCAAGCGUUGUCCGGAUUUAUUGGGCGUAAAGAGCUCGUAGGUGGUUCGGUAAGUCGGGUGUUAAACCCCCAGGCUCAACCUGGGGACGCCACUCGAUACUGCUGUGACUAGAGUCCGGUAGGGGAGCGUGGAAUUCCUGGUGUAGCGGUGAAAUGCGCAGAUAUCAGGAGGAACACCAGCGGCGAAGGCGGCGCUCUGGGCCGGUACUGACACUGAGGAGCGAAAGGCGUGGGUAGCAAACAGG
rnacentral:rRNA from 1 species